rnacentral:rRNA from 1 species
AUACGGGGGGUGCAAGCGUUGUCCGGAAUCAUUGGGCGUAAAGGGUUCGUAGGUGGAAUUAUAAGUCUGGUGUGAAAGCCCACAGCUCAACUGUGGAACUGCACUGGAUACUGUUUUUCUUGAGUUAUAGAGGGGUUUGUGGAAUUUCUGGUGUAGAGGUGAAAUUUGUAGAGAUCAGAAAGAACACCGGUGGCGAAGGCGACAAACUGGCUAUUAACUGACACUGCGGAACGAAAGCGUGGGGAGCGAACAGGAUUAGAUACCCUAGUAGUCC